AAAUAUUUUAAACCACUGGGGGUUGGACCACUGAAGGCAUGCCAUUGGCUGCGGCUCAAAGCCGCAAAUGGGUUGCAAAUCCCUUAUAAAGGUUAUAUGGAGCUCUCAGUCAAUGUCUUGGGUCAAACUCUGAAUAAGAUGGGUGUCCUAGUGGUGGAAGACCCCCCAAAUGAGUCUGUUGAAAAUCAUACUGCUGCACCUGGCUUGUUGGGCAUGAACAUUAUUCGUCAUUGUUAUGGUUCACUUUUUGAUCAGUUCGGUCCAAACCUUUUCAACUCACCUAUCCUUCGAGCUGCUGACAGGGAAUGGAGGCAGACUUUAGCAAAAUGCCACUCCAUGGAAAUGUUGAACUCCCAUGGCAACCUAGGUAAAGCUAAAGUUUAUGGUCAAGCAGUUCGCAUCCCAGCUGGUUCCUUAAAAUGGAUCAGUACAACCUGCCCUGCUGCUGCCAACCUGUCAUUGCCAUCUGUUUUACUCGAACCCUUGGCAGGAGUGAGCCAACUACCUGCCGGGCUUCUUGUGUCCUCUGCUCUCCUGUCUAUUCACCAGGGUGUUGUAGAGGUCCCAGUAGUCAACGUGGGUUCUGAGGAUGUUUGGCUGCCAGCCCUCACGCAACUAGGGGAGUUGCAUGUAGUUGACCCUGUGCAACUGGGAAACAUGGUGGUGUCCGAGGAGGGGGAAGGCCAGAACACAGUGGCGGUGAUCCGCCAAGUGAGUGCAAAUCCAACAGAACGGCUUGAUUUGAAAAAUGUUUCUUGGCCAAACUUAUCACCAUCACAAGUAGAACAGGUGUCGGAGCUUUUGACAUCUCAUAGUGACGUUUUUAGCCGGGGUGAAGGAGAUUUGGGGUGCACUACGUUAGUGGAGCAUGAGAUCCAUCUUGAGGACGAGGCCCCUGUGCGGCAACGGUACCGUCGCCUCCCCCCAUCGCAGUAUGAGCAGGUCAAGGCCCAUAUUCAAGAGCUUUUGGAUAGGGGGGUGGUGAGGCCAAGCUGCAGUCCAUUUUCUUCUCCUAUCGUGGUUGUUUUUAAGAAAACUGGAGAAAUGAGACUGUGUGUGGACUACAGGUUGUUGAACGCCAAGACGCGAAAGGACGCCUACCCCCUGCCGCGAAUUGAAGAGACCUUGGAUGCUCUCACGGGUGCUCAGUGGUUCUCAACUUUAGACCUUGCCAGCGGCUAUAACCAGGUACCUGUUCCAGAGAAAGACAGAGCAAAGACAGCUUUUUGUACGCCCUUUGGCCUUUUUGAAUUUAAC
rnacentral:lncRNA from 1 species